UAUUACCGCGGCUGCUGGCACGGAGUUAGCCGGUGCUUCUUCUGCGGGUAACGUCAAUUGCUGUGGUUAUUAACCACAACACCUUCCUCCCCGCUGAAAGUACUUUACAACCCGAAGGCCUUCUUCAUACACGCGGCAUGGCUGCAUCAGGCCUGCGCCCAUUGUGCAAUAUUCCCCACUGCUGCCUCCCGUAGGA
rnacentral:rRNA from 1 species